UCGGGAAUUUUGGGCAAUGGGCGAAAGCCUGACCCAGCAACGCCGCGUGAGGGAUGAAGUAUUUCGGUAUGUAAACCUCGAAAGAAUGGGAAGAAUAAAUGACGGUACCAUUUAUAAGCUCCGGCUAACUACGUGCCAGCAGCCGCGGUAAUACGUAGGGAGCAAGCGUUGUUCGGAUUUACUGGGCGUAAAGGGCGCGUAGGCGGCGCGGUAAGUCACUUGUGAAAUCUCUGAGCUUAACUCAGAACGGCCAAGUGAUACUGCUUUGCUAGAGUGCGGAAGAGGCAACCGGAAUUCUUGGUGUAGCGGUGAAAUGCGUAGAUAUCAAGAGGAACACCUGAGGCGAAGGCGGGUUGCUGGGCCGACACUGACGCUGAUGCGCGAAAGCCAGGGGAGCAAACG
rnacentral:rRNA from 1 species